rnacentral:lncRNA from 1 species
GUUUCUUAUUUUUAUAUCAACCCAGCCAUAUUAUACCUGUCUAAUAUCAGGAGCUUGUACAUAGUUCAGUGGUUGAUGUUGGUUCAUACCCGUCAUUUUUAUUUUUCAUAAUUUUUUUUUUUUUAUAAAUUAGUCUGGUAUAUUUGACGUUUGAAUUGAUGCUCUGUUAGUCUGUUUCAAAUUUGGUUAGUGUUGACUUUUAUAGAUUACUAUAACAUGUAUAGGUUAUGGGUUUUCUCAUUACUUACAGGUCAUCAAUGGCCUCUA